rnacentral:rRNA from 1 species
GAUGAACGCUAGCGGCAGGCUUAAUACAUGCAAGUCGAACGGCCCCGACACUUCGGUGUCGGGGUAGUGGCGCACGGGUGCGUAACGCGUACACAACAUACCCUUUACAGGGGGAUAGCGGCGGGAAACUGCCAGUAAUACCCCAUGUCCUUGCGAGGUGGCAUCAUUUUGCAAAGAAAGUUCAAGCGGUAAAGGAUUGGUGUGCGUCCGAUUAGCUAGUUGGCGGGGUAACGGCCCACCAAGGCGACGAUCGGUAGGGGGUGUGAGAGCAUGGCCCCCCACACGGUACGUNAGACACGGACCCGGACCUCUACCGGGAGGGCAGC